rnacentral:lncRNA from 1 species
CACAAACAAAAAACCCAGUGGUACCUACAUUCUCCAACUUCCCCAUCCUCUGGUCGGAUAACUCUGAGGUACAUUCUGCAUGGUUCUUCAGAGGAUCCCCAGCAAGACUGAGCCUCUAUUACCCACAAUAGUAACCAUCCUUUGUGGGCCUUUAUUAUUAUUAUUAUUUAUUACCAUACAUUAUACUUAAUCUUCAUCAUUCAUGUAUUAAAACAGGGUGCCCACCCUUUGUCAGUAACACACACUCAUUGUCUUUUCUUCUGGGUUUUCACCCUCCCACACUCCUUCCUGAGACCAUCUCCCAAAUAAAUGACCUGCUCCCAAAUCCCGGUCCCAGGCUCUUCUCUCGAUGGAACCCAAGCUAAGACACCUUCCUGUGUCUAAUAAAUCAUGGUUAGCUCCAGAGCUCAGCUGGAUGCAGCUUCCUCGCUUUCUCGUUUUGGCACGUUGGCGUCUCCGGCACUGCUGUGUGCUUCCCACUGUGUUGCG